GACGGGGGAUGCGAGCGUUAUCCGGAAUGAUUGGGCGUAAAGGGUCCGCAGGUGGCCCGGUCAGUCCGCUGUCAAAGCCUGGGGCUCAACCCUGGAGAGGCGGCGGAGACCACCGGGCUUGAGUCCGGUAGGGGCAGAGGGAAUUCCCGGUGGAGCGGUGAAAUGCGUAGAGAUCGGGAAGAACACCGAUGGCGAAGGCACUUUACUGGGCUAUUACUAACACUCAGAGACGAAAGCUAGGGUAGCAAAUGGG
rnacentral:rRNA from 1 species